rnacentral:rRNA from 1 species
AUUGAACGCUGGCGGCAGGCCUAACACAUGCAAGUCGAGCGGAUGAAGGGAGCUUGCUCCUGGAUUCAGCGGCGGACGGGUGAGUAAUGCCUAGGAAUCUGCCUGGUAGUGGGGGAUAACGUCCGGAAACGGGCGCUAAUACCGCAUACGUCCUGAGGGAGAAAGUGGGGGAUCUUCGGACCUCACGCUAUCAGAUGAGCCUAGGUCGGAUUAGCUAGUUGGUGGGGUAAAGGCUUACCAAGGCGACGAUCCGUAACUGGUCUGAGAGGAUGAUCAGUCACCCUGGAACUGGGACACGGUCCAAACCCCUACGGGAGGCAGGAGUGGGGAAUUUUGGACAAUGGGGGAAAGCCUGAUCCAGCCAUGCCGGGUGGGGAAAAAAGGUUUUCGGAUUGUAAAGCCCUUUAAGUUGGGAGGAAGGGCAGUAAGUUAAUACCUUGCUGUUUUGACUUUACCAACAGAAUAAGCACCGGCUAACUUCGU